CAUAGAGCACUUAUAGUCUCUCUUUUAUAUUUAAGAGCUCUAUCUCUCUCUUCUCUCAGACUCACUUUCCUCUCUAUAGUAAAGAGGAGAUGGAGGAAGAGAGAGAGAGAUAAGUUUUUAUGGAUUGUGGUCUGUUGGGUCUUCUACUACUACUACUACUGCAACUUGAGGAGACAUCCAAAGGGAUCGCAUUGAUCCUCAGAAAAAUUAAGAAUAAUCUCUUCUUAUGUAAUUUCUUGCUUGUUUGCUGUUUCAUUUUUUCUUUUAUUUGGAUCAUGCUAUCCCUUUGGAUUCCUCCUUUGGUAGCUUCUAAAACAUGGUGUUUUUUACAUGGUGGUGGUGCAAACCCUCUUCCUUUUCAUGCACCACCACCAUCAACAACAACAACAACAACAACAACAGCCCUGAUGAUGGUUCGUCGAGAAAAGUGACCGGAGAACAACCUAGCGAGUGCUGAAUAUUAUGUAUGGAGGAGAAGACAAUGCAAAUAGUGAUAGAUCAGUAAGUCAUGCACAAGGGAAAUAUGAAGGGUUGGAUUAAAGUUAUUUAUCGUUUCACUUUCUUAUUGUUUUCACAGUAGCAGGAGAAAGUACUUGGCCGAGAAAAUCUUAGCAUCCUUGAGACAACAUUUAAUAUUUCAGUUUAGAGUUAAAUGGCACUAUCAGUUCUCUUAAUUAGUCUAUAUCAGCUAAAGUUUUAUUUAUGUCCUGGUAUAAGUUUUGAGCUGCCUUAUGUAUAAUUGACCAUAUAUAUAUUAAAGAGUGAAAUUACUGUUAAGUCUUACUUAACAGUUCAA